rnacentral:rRNA from 1 species
AAGUCCGUAACAAGGUUUCCGUAGGUGAACCUGCGGAAGGAUCAUUAAAGAGAAGGAGCCAAAUCCUCCCGGAGGCUCCGCCUCCAAACUCUUCACCGCUUGUCUAUCUAACCUUUUGUUGCUUCGGCGAGCCUUCGCGGGCUCAGUCCGCGAAGCCGGACCCGGGACCUGCGCCCGCCGUCGGAUCGCGCUCGCGGAGGACCCUCAAAACCCCGAUCUAUCCAUGCAGUCUGAGCGAAACACAAUCAAAACUAAAAACUUUCAACAACGGACUCUCUUGGUUCUGGCAUCGAUGAAGAACGCAAGCGAAAUGGCGAUAAGUAAUGCGAAUUGCAGAAUUCAGUGAGGUCAUCGAAUCUUUGAACGCACAUUGCGCCCCUCGGUAUUCCGGGGGGCAUGCCUGUUCGAGCGUCAUUGCACCCCUCAAGCGGUAGCUUGGUGUUGGGCCCUCGUCCUCGAGCGGACCGUGCCCGAAAACGAGUGGGCGGUCCGGUGUGACUUCAAGCGUAGUAAAAGACGAUAUCCCGCUUUGGAAGGCCUUCGCACCGCGAUCUGCCAAGAACCUUUACUUUUUUCAAUGAUUGACCUCUGAUUCACAGUGUAGGGAAUACCCGCUGAACUUAA